rnacentral:rRNA from 1 species
AUUGAACGCUGGCGGCAGGCCUAACACAUGCAAGUCGAGCGGAUGAGUGGAGCUUGCUCCAUGAUUCAGCGGCGGACGGGUGAGUAAUGCCUAGGAAUCUGCCUGGUAGUGGGGGACAACGUUUCGAAAGGAACGCUAAUACCGCAUACGUCCUACGGGAGAAAGUGGGGGAUCUUCGGACCUCACGCUAUCAGAUGAGCCUAGGUCGGAUUAGCUAGUUGGUGAGGUAAAGGCUCACCAAGGCGACGAUCCGUAACUGGUCUGAGAGGAUGAUCAGUCACACUGGAACUGAGACACGGUCCAGACUCCUACGGGAGGCAGCAGUGGGGAAUAUUGGACAAUGGGCGAAAGCCUGGUCCAGCCAUGCCGCGUGUGUGAAGAAGGUCUUCGGAUUGUAAAGCACUUUAAGUUGGGAGGAAGGGCAGUAAGUUAAUACCUUGCUGUUUUGACGUUACCAACAGAAUAAGCACCGGCUAACUUCGUG